CCUGUAGUUAAUGACCGGUCCCUAAGUUUUCUACUCACAUUGGUCGUUCAGACAUGCACCUCCCGCCGUGGGAGCGGCAGAUCAAAGUCAUAAUCAGGAGAUUAUGGUAUUGUGUCAAUGUUUCUGACGAAGUUCUUAUUAUAUUACCAAUAUAUAUUUAAUAACAUUAGAAGAUAUCAGGGUCGUAGACAAACAGUAGAAUCGUUGUAACUGUACUACUCUAUAAUUACUGUACUACUAAGGGUAAUUAG